GACGAACGCUGGCGGCGUGCUUAACACAUGCAAGUCGAACGGAAAGGCCCUGCUUUUGUGGGGUGCUCGAGUGGCGAACGGGUGAGUAACACGUGAGUAACCUGCCCUUGACUUUGGGAUAACUUCAGGAAACUGGGGCUAAUACCGGAUAGGAGCUCCUGCUGCAUGGUGGGGGUUGGAAAGUUUCGGCGGUUGGGGAUGGACUCGCGGCUUAUCAGCUUGUUGGUGGGGUAGUGGCUUACCAAGGCUUUGACGGGUAGCCGGCCUGAGAGGGUGACCGGCCACAUUGGGACUGAGAUACGGCCCAGACUCCUACGGGAGGCAGCAGUGGGGAAUAUUGCACAAUGGGCGGAAGCCUGAUGCAGCAACGCCGCGUGCGGGAUGACGGACUUCGGGGUGUAAACCGCUUUCGCCUGUGACGAAGCGUGAGUGACGGUAAUGGGUAAAGAAGCACCGGCUAACUACGUG
rnacentral:rRNA from 1 species